rnacentral:tRNA from 2 species
CGGGGUGUAGUUCAUCGGUAGAAUUUUCGGUUCGGGACCGAAAGGCAGUGGGUUCAAUUCCCGCCACCCCGA